rnacentral:rRNA from 1 species
GACGAACCGUGCGAACGUUGUUCGGAAUCACUGGGCUUAAAGGGCGCGUAGGCGGGCCGCCGCGUCCGGGGUGAAAUCCUCCCGCUCAACGGGAGAACGGCCUCGGAUACGGGCGGUCUGGAGGGGGGUAGAGGCGUGCGGAAUUAACGGUGGAGCGGUGAAAUGCGUUGAUAUCGUUAGGAACUCCAGUGGCGAAGGCGGCACGCUGGACCCCACCUGACGCUGAGGCGCGAAAGCCAGGGGAGCGAACGGG